GGAGGUAGUGACAAUAAAUCACAAUGCGGGACUCCUAGUCUUGCAAUUGGAUUGAGAACAACGUACAACUCUUAUCGAUAAGCCAUUGGAGGGCAAGUCUGGUGCCAGCAGCCGCGGUAAUUCCAGCUCCAAUAGCGUAUAUUAACGUUGUUGCAGUUAAAAAGCUCGUAGUUGAAGUGAGGGAGUGUGUGGGUAUGAGAGCUAGUCUCAAGUACUCACAACCUCCCCCCUCCAAUCGGUGUAGUGGGGUAUUCAGUUAUUUCACUACUCCUUUGGUCGUUUACUGUGAGAAAAUUAGAGUGUUCAAAGCGGGCGUUUGUUUGAAUAGAUUAACAUGGAAUAAUGAUUGAAGGCUUUCGUGUUCGAUUUGAUUGGUUUGUUCAUGGAAGCAAGGUUAAAAGGAACAGUUGGGGGUAUUCAUAUUCACUAGUUAGAGGUGAAAUUCUCGGAUUUAUGGAAGAUGAACAAGUGCGAAAGCA
rnacentral:rRNA from 1 species